rnacentral:rRNA from 1 species
UACGUAGGGAGCGAGCGUUGUCCGGAUUCAUUGGGCGUAAAGAGCUCGUAGGCGGCUUGGCAAGUCGGGUGUGAAAACUCCAGCUCAACCUGGAGACGCCACCCGAUACUGCCAUGGCUAGAGUCCGGUAGGGGACCACGGAAUUCCUGGUGUAGCGGUGAAAUGCGCAGAUAUCAGGAGGAACACCGGUGGCGAAGGCAAUCCCCUGGGCCUGUACUGACGCUCAUGCACGAAAGCGUGGGGAGCAAACAGGA